UUUCUAGGGAGUAUAAUGUUAAUUUGAAAUUUAGUGAAUCUGGCGGUUUUUAAAUCUUUUUAGAGGAACCUGUAAUUUAAAUGAUAGUCCACGAUUUUUUUUACCUUAAUUUUCUUGUAUAUCUCUGUCGUUGAAUGUGGUGAAAAUUUAUUUUCUUUUUUUUUAUUAAAUUUAUGUUAGGUCAAGGUGCAGUUAUAUUAUGGUUAUUAUGGGUUACAAUAAUUUUUGUUUGCGGAUUUCAUUUUUUUUAUGUUUUGAAUUUGGAUUUAAAAGUAAUUUUUUUUUUUUAAUUUUUU
rnacentral:rRNA from 1 species